rnacentral:rRNA from 1 species
UACGUAGGGUGCAAGCGUUAAUCGGAAUUACUGGGCGUAAAGCGUGCGCAGGCGGUUAUGCAAGACAGGUGUGAAAUCCCCGGGCUCAACCUGGGAACUGCAUUUGUGACUGUAUAGCUGGAGUACGGUAGAGGGGGAUGGAAUUCCGCGUGUAGCAGUGAAAUGCGUAGAGAUGUGGAGGAACACCGAUGGCGAAGGCAGCCCCCUGGGCUAACACUGACGCUCAGGCACGAAAGCGUGGGGAGCAAACAGG